AGCGAACGCUGGCGGCAGGCCUAACACAUGCAAGUCGAGCGCCCAGCAAUGGGAGCGGCAGACGGGUGAGUAACGCGUGGGGAUGUGCCCAAUGGUACGGAAUAACCCAGGGAAACUUGGACUAAUACGGUAUGUGCCCUUCGGGGGAAAGAUUUAUCGCCAUUGGAUCAACCCGCGUCGGAUUAGCUAGUUGGUGUGGUAAAGGCGCACCAAGGCGACGAUCCGUAGCUGGUCUGAGAGGAUGAUCAGCCACACUGGGACUGAGACACGGCCCAGACUCCUACGGGAGGCAGCAGUGGGGAAUAUUGGACAAUGGGCGCAAGCCUGAUCCAGCCAUGCCGCGUGAGUGAUGAAGGCCUUAGGGUUGUAAAGCUCUUUCGCCGGUGAAGAUAAUGACGGUAACCGGAGAAGAAGCCCCGGCUAACUUCGUGCCAGCCGCCGCAGUAAGAC
rnacentral:rRNA from 1 species